UACGGAGGGUGCAAGCGUUAUCCGGAUUUAUUGGGUUUAAAGGGUCCGUAGGCGGAUCUGUAAGUCAGUGGUGAAAUCUCACAGCUUAACUGUGAAACUGCCAUUGAUACUGCAGGUCUUGAGUAAGGUAGAAGUGGCUGGAAUAAGUAGUGUAGCGGUGAAAUGCAUAGAUAUUACUUAGAACAUCAAUUGCGAAGGCAGGUCACUAUGUCUUAACUGACGCUGAUGGACGAAAGCGUGGGGAGCGAACAGG
rnacentral:rRNA from 1 species